CAGCCUGAUCCCACAACCUUGCAUUAGCAUACAGUUAAUAAUACAUGGAAGAGCUCUUCUUACACCAGUACAUUUAAUAAUACAUGGAAGAGCUCUUCUUACACCAGUACAUGUAUGGAAAGGCUGAGAAAUUGCAUCAGCAAGGGGGGGAAGGGGAGGGGGGGAGCACCACCACUAAGAGGACCAAAAGAGGAGUAUAGGGAAGCAAAUACAAAUAUUAAAGUCAACUGUUGUCGUAGGAUGAAAAAGAGAAGACAUUGAUAUGUUUGUGUUGUAAG